GCCCCUGUGGCGGAAUUGGUAGACGCGACAGACUCAAAAUCUGUUGUCUUAACAGGCGUGCUGGUUCGAGUCCGGCCAGGGGCA
rnacentral:tRNA from 1 species